rnacentral:rRNA from 1 species
AGUCGAGCGAGAAAGUAUCUUCGGAUAUGAGUAGAGCGGCGGACGGGUGAGUAACGCGUAGGAAUCUACCUAGUAGAAGGGGAUAGCCCGGGGAAACUCGGAUUAAUACCGUAUACCUCCUAAGGGAGAAAGAGGGCCUCUCUUGAUGCUCUCGCUAUUAGAUGAGCCUGCGUAAGAUUAGCUUGUUGGUAAGGUAAUGGCUUACCAAGGCUACGAUCUUUAGCUGGUCUGAGAGGACGAUCAGCCACAUUGGGACUGAGACACGGCCCAGACUCCUACGGGAGGCAGCAGUGGGGAAUAUUGGACAAUGGGCGCAAGCCUGAUCCAGCCAUACCGCGUGUGUGAAGAAGGCCUUCGGGUUGUAAAGCACUUUAAGCAGGGAGAAAAAGUUAUAAGUUAAUACCUUAUAACCGUGAUGUUACCUGCAGAAUAAGCACCGGCUAAUUCCGUGCCAGCAGCCGCGGUAAUACGGAAGGUGCAAGCGUUAAUCGGAAUUACUGGGCGUAAAGCGCGCGUAGGUGGUUUGUUAAGUUGGAUGUGAAAGCCCUGGGCUCAACCUAGGAACUGCAUCCAAAACUAACUCACUAGAGUACGAUAGAGGGAGGUAGAAUUCAUAGUGUAGCGGUGGAAUGCGUAGAUAUUAUGAAGAAUACCAGUGGCGAAAGCGGCCUCCUGGAUCUGUACUGACACUGAGUGCGAAAGCGUGGGUAGCGAACAGGAUUAGAUACCCUGGUAGUCCACGCCGUAAACGAUGACACUAGCUGUUGGGAGACCAUGUCUUUCAGUGGCGCAGCUAACGUUUUAAGUUGUCCGCCUGGGGAGUACGGCCGCAAGGCUAAACUCAAAUGAAUUGACGGG